rnacentral:rRNA from 1 species
AUUGAACGCUGGCGGCAUGCCUUUCACAUGCAGGUCGAACGGUAACAGGUCUUCGGAUGCUGACGAGUGGCGAACGGGUGAGUAAUACAUCGGAACGUGCCUAGUAGUGGGGGAUAACUACUCGAAAGAGUGGCUAAUACCGCAUGAGAUCUACGGAUGAAAGCAGGGGAUCGUAAGACCUUGUGCUACUAGCGCGGCCGAUGGCAGAUUAGGUAGUUGGUGGGAUAAAAGCGUACCAAGCCGACGAUCUGUAGCUGGUCUGAGAGGACGAUCAGCCACACUGGGACUGAGACCCGGCCCAGACUCCUACGGGAGGCAGCAGUGGGGAAUUUUGGACAAUGGACGCAAGCCUGAUCCAGCAAUGCCGCGUGCAGGAUGAAGGCCUUCGGGUUGUAAACUGCUUUUGUACGGAACGAAAAGCCCUGGGUUAAUACCCUGGGGUCAUGACGGUACCGUAAGAAUAAGCACCGGCUAACUACGUGCCAGCAGCCGCCGUAAAAC